CGGCGGGAUGGUGAUGGCAUUGUACGGGGACAGAUGGCGGCCACGCUGGUGGUGAGCAGAGCGUGACGUGUGGGCUUGUCGAAUCAUUAUGUUAUACACCGGAAACUAACAAAACAUUAUGUGUCAACUACACUUCCAUUUGAAAAAAAUCUGUUGAGAAUUUGACUGAAAUUAUACUGAAAAUAUUAAUAGAUUUUUCUAGUGUUAGUUGGCCCUUACUUUCCUGGGACAAGCCCUGUUUCAAUGUGUUCUGUGAUUACUUUCAGUAUUGCUGGGUGCCGUCUCCUGAUGUCUUCUAUAGGAUAUUUGCUUCUGUAUUCGCAAGAGACAUUAACCUUUUCUUUACCCUGGCCUGAUUUGGGGGAUGAAGGAAGCAGUUGCUGCGGCUGAGAUCGAAGAGGUUGCUGCCUGUGUUCUCCCCAAGGAUUUUGAUGGAUUCCUGUCUCACAUUGAUGUCUUUCAUCCAUUUGGAGUCUAUUUUUGUGUGUGGAGUAAGGAAAUGCACUUUGCCAUUUCUGAUACUCCUAUAAGCUGUUAGCAGAGAAAACAUGUUGGCCAUUCAACUAGUCUGUCAGGCAGACAAGCACUCUGGCUAAUUUUGAUUCACUGAAAUGACUCAAUAUUUCACCAAAUUUGGAUAUAUCUGGUGGCUGUCUUGUGCCAUAAGGCCACACUUUGAAAAAGGAGGAAAUCACAUGGCAUGGUUUAAACAGGACUAGACUGGGAUUUGGGACAUGUGAGUUGUUAUCCUAGUUUUGGUACUGGUCAGCUUUGUGAUUUCGACUGUCAGCUCAUCCAGCUGAUCACCCUAGGCCUGAAUUUUCUCAUUUGUGCAAUGACCCCUGAAUGAUGCUGUACCAUGUGCAAAUAAUUCUUAUAUGUAUCAUUUUAUUGGAAAGAUAUAACAAUUCCAAAAGGAAUCACAGCACAUAAAUUAUUAUUCCCCAUGUUAUAGAUGAAAAGACAGAUCCUGAUUCUCAUCAUGACUAAUUCCUAUCAAACUAACUCUUCAAAUAAAAAUUAUACACUGUAAACAAAUGUUAAAAAAAAAAAAUCACCACCACCCCAAAGCACGGGACCAUUUCCUCAAAUAGGCCAGUUCUGGAAAGGAUCAGCAUGUGGGAGAUAGAAUAGGAUCAUCAGAGGAUAGAUGUGGAUAUGUGUAUAUACUCGCAUUUGCGUAUAUGCAUAGAGUUUCUUACUCUGUUAUCUGAGAGAGUCUGGAAACAGCACUAACUCUGUGGCUAUGAGCAAAUCCAACACCCAGAUUUUGGUUUUAAAUACCAUCCUCCUACAAAGAGAAACGGGGCUUCUUGGAGAAAUGGCUGAUUCUGGGGUUGGGGCGGGGAGUGAAAGAUGAACCUGGAGCAUCUUAUAGUGCUGGAAAGGAAGUCCUACAGAAAAAAAUUAAUUGAUGGGGGUAUAUCAAAAACACAGGAACCAGCUGAAGGGGCUCUUGUGACCAAAGCAGGAAUAAUUUGAGAAAUGAAAUAAAUGGCUUAACAUCGGAUUCUAAUGCAAAAUAUUAAAUAAAUAUCCAUGAGUCCAUACGGAUAUAAGCUAAUGACUGAAUAGAUACAUAAGGAGAAGACACACAUAUUCUACAUAGAACUAGAAUAGUUUAUAUAGAUGAUCGAUCACUCUUGAAGGGAUGGAACCAAAUUUCCCACUCCUGGUGACUUCUUUUGAAACAGCAUUGUCUGG
ensembl:lincRNA